GACGAACGCUGGCGGCGUGCUUAACACAUGCAAGUCGAACGGAAAGGCCCUGCUUUUGUGGGGUGCUCGAGUGGCGAACGGGUGAGUAACACGUGAGUAACCUGCCCUUGACUUUGGGAUAACUUCAGGAAACUGGGGCUAAUACCGGAUAGGAGCUCCUGCUGCAUGGUGGGGGUUGGAAAGUUUCGGCGGUCGGGGAUGGACUCGCGGCUUAUCAGCUUGUUGGUGGGGUAGUGGCUUACCAAGGCUUUGACGGGUAGCCGGCCUGAGAGGGUGACCGGCCACAUUGGGACUGAGAGACGGCCCAGACGCCUACGGGAGGCAGCAGUGGGGAAUAUGGCAGAAUGGGCGGAAGCCUGAUGCAGCAACGCCGCGUGCGGGAUGACGGCCUUCGGGUUGUAAACCGCUUUCGCCGGUGACGAAGCGGGAGUGACGGUAAUGGGUAAAGAAGCACCGGCUAACUACGUG
rnacentral:rRNA from 1 species